CUGUUGCCAUGUAUUCAACACAGAUUUUGACAGAAUACAUACUAAACCAAUGUUUAAUACUAUUGUAAACCCUGCACUGAGUUGUUCAUUACUCAGCUGUGAUGUGCUUUCCCCUUUCAAAUGUUUCAGCGGUUGCUUCCUAUCGCUGCCACCAGUGCUGGAUUCCUGCUGGAUGACAAGAUCCCUCUCCGGACACAGGGAUGCUGCAGCUCAGUAUUACUUCACGAAAAAGUGGGCUCUCCUGGGAGUGGACUCAGUCUAAUAGCAAAUUAGCUGUUACCUAGAAGAUCCACGAGAUCCACUCUGAAGACCAAGCUGCAUCAUGGCACUGAUGAUGUGUGAUCUACCGUGUCUACAUGCAGAAUUGACCAAAUGCUCCAUCUUCCAAAAGAGAGGCUGUUGUAGAUUCAGCUGAUUUUCUAAAAGAGGUUUUAUCACAGAAAGAAAUGUUUCAGCAGGUUCACCCUAUAACCAGCAUGGCCUUGUUCCUCCACAAUACUCUUUCCCAUGCAACCGUCUUUAUAAGCAACUUGGAAAUGUCUCCCAUUAGCUACCAAUAAAAAAAACAAUCAUCUGUGGCA
rnacentral:lncRNA from 1 species